GAGGCAGAGCUCUGGGGCGUCUCCACCAUGGCCUGGACCCCGCUCCUGCUCCCCCUCCUCACUCUCUGCACAGGUUCUGUGGCCUCUUCUGAGCUGACUCAGCCACCUACGGUGUCUGUGGCCUUAGGAGGGACAGCAAGGAUCACCUGCCAGGGAGGCAACUUUGGAAGCUCUUAUGCUAACUGGUACCAGCAGAAGCCAGGCCUGGCCCCACUAACGGUGAUUUAUAAAGAUAGUGAACGGCCCUCAGGGAUCCCUGACCGAUUCUCUGGCUCCAGCUCAGGAAACACAGCCACUCUGACCAUCAGCGGGGCCAGGACAGAGGAUGAGGCUGACUAUUACUGUCACUCAAGCGACAGCAGUAGUAAUGCUCACAGUGACACAGACUGA